rnacentral:rRNA from 1 species
CUCAGGAGAAGGAACUCGGCAAAAUAGCACCGUAACUUCGGGAAAAGGUGUGCCCUUUGUAUGUGUAGCGCCUCGCGCGUGAAGCAGAAUAGGGUUGCAAUGAAAUGGUGGCUGCGACUGUUUAAUAAAAACAUAGCACUCUGCAAACACGAAAGUGGACGUAUAGAGUGUGACGCCUGCCCGGUGCCGGAAGGUUAAAUGAUGGGGUGCAAGCUCUUGAUUGAAGCCCCGGUAAACGGCGGCCGUAACAAUAACGGUCCUAAGGUAGCGAAAUUCCUUGUCGGGUAAGUUCCGACCUGCACGAAUGGCGUAACGAUGGCCACACUGUCUCCUCCUGGGACUCAGCGAAGUUGAAAUGUUUGUGAAGAUGCAAUCUCCCCGCGGCUAGACGGAAAGACCCCGUGCACCUUUACUGUAGCUUUACAUUGGACUUUGAUAACAUCUGUGUAGGAUAGGUGGGAGGCUUUGAAGUGGACUCGCUAGAGUUCAUGGAGCCAUCGUUGAAAUACCACCCUGAUGUUGUUGGGGUUCUAACCUAGAUCCAUUAUCUGGAUUGGGGACCGUGUAUGGUAGGCAGUUUGACUGGGGCGGUCUCCUCCCAAAUUGUAACGGAGGAGUACGAAGGUACGCUAAGUACGGUCGGAAAUCGUGCUGAUAGUGCAAUGGCAAAAGCGUGCUUGACUGCGAGACUGACAAGUCGAGCAGAUGCGAAAGCAGGUCAUAGUGAUCCGGUGGUUCUGUAUGGAAGGGCCAUCGCUCAACGGAUAAAAGGUACGCCGGGGAUAACAGGCUGAUUCCUCCCAAGAGUUCAUAUCGACGGGGGAGUUUGGCACCUCGAUGUCGGCUCAUCACAUCCUGGGGCUGUAGCCGGUCCCAAGGGUAUGGCUGUUCGCCAUUUAAAGUGGUACGUGAGCUGGGUCUAAAACGUCGUGAGACAGUUUGGUCCCUAUCUGCCGUGGGCGUUGGAAGUUUGAGUGGACCUGCUCCUAGUACGAGAGGACCGGAGUGGACGCACCUCUGGUGUACCGGUUAUGACGCCAGUCGUAUCGCCGGGUAGCUAAGUGCGGAAGAGAUAACCGCUGAAAGCAUCUAAGCGGGAAACUCUCCUCAAGAUGAGACUUCCCGAGGGUUUAACCCUCCGAAAGGUUCGUCGAAGACUACGACGUUGAUAGGUCGGGUGUGGAAGCAUAGUAAUAUGUUAAGCUAACCGAUACUAAUUGACCGUGAGGCUUGAUCCU